UUGGCCUCGGGGCUCAAGCAGUCUGCUGGCAGUUGGCCAACGCCUUAUCGUGUUUCCAGGCUCCCAACAAACAGAAAAUGGGCUUGAAUGGUUAGCUCUCAGGUGGAACUUCCUGAGAAUCAAUAAGCAGAAAAGCAUGCGCCCACAGCACUGGAGAGGGAAGGAGAGCUGGUCUGUGCCCUGGAGGAGCUCGGGUUUAAGGAGUAGGUGGGAGAGGUAUUGACAUGAGCAGGAGAACCAACUGGACAGAACCGAUGUGCAAAGGAAUCUGUGCUGAUACCCAAGGAGCAGGAAGCAGCUGAGAUGCCUCCAGCUAAUGCUGCAACACGAAUACCCUCUGAAAGCAGGCUCCAGCCAGAACCUGACAGGACCGGCAUUGUUCCGUGGACAGCUGGGAGCAGCUGCAGUGCCCCUGGUCCCCCCAGCGCAGGCUCACAGACAUCCGGUGAGAUCAGGGAAGUGCCGGCCUGUCUGGGGUGGUAUCAGGGUUGGGCAAUCGUCGCUGGACAAUGAGAAUCAAGGACAGAGGCCUUUAGCAGCUUAGAUUCUUACCUAAAACAGAUCACAAGGACCUGGUGUGGAAGGAGCCAGGA